AUUAGGAAUCUUGCGCAAUGGGCGAAAGCCUGACGCAGCGACGCCGCGUGUGUGAUGAAGUCUCUCGGGAUGUAAAGCACUUUUAGCAGGGAAGAAGAAUGUGACGGUACCUGCUGAAUAAGCCCCGGCUAACUACGUGCCAGCAGCCGCGGUAAUACGUAGGGGGCGAGCGUUGUCCGAAGUUACUGGGCGUAAAGCGCGCGUAGGCGGUCCUUUAAGUUGAUUGUGAAAUCUUCACGGCUCAACCGGAAAACUGCGGUCAAAACUGGAGGACUUGAGAUUGGGAGAGGGAAGUGGAAUUCCUGGUGUAGCGGUGAAAUGCGUAGAUAUCAGGAGGAACACCGAUGGCGAAGGCAGCUUCCUGGCCCAAUUCUGACGCUGAGGUGCGAAAGCGUGGGUAGCGAACGGGAUUAGAUACCCUAGUAGUCC
rnacentral:rRNA from 1 species